rnacentral:rRNA from 1 species
CCUACGGGAGGCAGCAGUGGGGAAUAUUGGGCAAUGGAGGAAACUCUGACCCAGCAACGCCGCGUGAAGUAUGAAGGUUUUCGGAUUGUAAACUUCUGUCGCGAGGGAUGAAGAAUGACGGUACCUCGUAAGAAAGCCCCGGCAAACUACGUGCCAGCAGCCGCGGUAAUACGUAGGGGGCAAGCGUUAUCCGGAUUUACUGGGUGUAAAGGGAGGGUAGACGGUGCGCCAAGUCUGGAGUGAAAUGCCGCAGCUUAACUGCGGAACUGCUUUGGAAACUGGCGAACUAGAGUGCGGGAGGGGUAAGCGGAAUUCCUAGUGUAGCGGUGAAAUGCGUAGAUAUUAGGAGGAACACCGGUGGCGAAGGCGGCUUACUGGACCGUAACUGACGUUGAGGCUCGAAAGCGUGGGGAGCAAACAGGAUUAGAUACCCGUGUAGUC